rnacentral:rRNA from 1 species
GACGUAGGGAGCAAGCGUUGUCCGGAUUUACUGGGCGUAAAGAGCUCGUAGGCGGCUCGUUAAGUGUGAAGUGAAAUCUCCAGUGCUCAACACGGAAACUGCUUUACAUACUGGCGAGCUUGAGGAAAGCAGAGGUAACUGGAAUUCCUGGUGUAGCGGUGAAAUGCGCAGAUAUCAGGAAGAACACCAAUGGCGAAAGCAGCUUUCUGGGACGGUACUGACGCUGAGACGCGAAAGCGUGGGGAGCGAACAGG